rnacentral:snRNA from 1 species
GUAUUCACUUCAUCAGCACAUAUACUAAAACUGGAGUGAUACAGAGAAGAUUAGCAUGGCCCCUGAGCAAGGAUGACAUGCAAAUUCAUGAAGUGUUCCAUAUUUUU